GACUCUGUAGCUCAGUUGGUUAGAACGCUGCACCGGAAUUGCAGGAUCGCAGGCCCGAUUCCUGCGAGAGGGC